AUCCUUGCAAUAUAAAACAAUGGCUGUAACAAAGCGAAGAAUGAUUGUGCUUCUGUAUAUGAAAAAAAGGGGCUUGAAAUUGAUUCACUGUGCACACUCAAUCCUUCGGGAAAUUAUUGGUUGACAAAGAGUUAUUCAAACUGGUUGCCUACAUGAUAGGCCAUCAAAAGAUUGAGCACUACAUAUAACCAUGUGACACCCUUACUGUAACGACCCAGCCCACCAACAACAAUAACUCGUUGGACCCAACUACCGGCCAAAGUCUUAAUUCCCUGAACUUUAAUAUACAUAGGCAAUAACAGUAUGGCUUUUCUAGAAAGCUCAAUUUUUGUAAAAUUAUUAAUUAUAAACGACACACGAUCAGGCUCAACAUUCUCAUUCAUGUAUCCAAAAAAGAAAACAAAAAACCAAAAGUCACAAAACAUAAGGUAAUUAUAAAAUUCAAAAGGACGAACAAAACUAAAAGGCAAAAUGUCACUAUAAGUUUAUAACCCAAAAAACAAUUAUAGGGAACAAAUUCGGGAAAAAAAAUUACGGGCUCAAAUUUACUAAGGAAUAAAAGCUAAAAAAGGUAUGACUCCAACAUGCAGGAAAAGAGCUUCAUAUUUGAAAGGAACAGCACUAAGCAGGGUUCUAAUACCAUUCAAAUAUUCUGCACUACUUAGGUUUAUGAAGCAACAAAGGGUAAAAAUGUUCCAAUUUCAAUAUGCAGGAAUAAGUUUAGAACCAAAAAAGAACACUUUACACUAAUAGUAGAAUAAGAAAUAUACGGGCUCAGAUUUAAUCACCAAUGAAGGCUAAAAAAGCUCCAAGUUCAACAUGCAGGAAAAAAACACAGGCAAAAAAAAAACACCCACCACAUAGAGUUCCAAUCCAUAUUUGAGAGAAAUAUCACCAUCUAGACUUCUAACCUAUAUAUCCAUCUUUGAAAUAAAUAACACCAACCUGAGUUCUAAUCUAUAUAUUAAAUAAAUAGUGCCAACUGGUUGCCAAUAUUAUAGACCGCCCAAAGAUUGCGCACUACUCACAAUGUAAGGAAGUGAAUUCUCGAAAUCCGGGAGUUGUACUUCAUCCAGGAUCGACUGACUGUCGAGAGAAUACCCUUUGGGGAAGUUAAAGAUGUCCAAAGCACAAAAAGUGCCUUGGAGUUGAGUCCACGAGAGCGAAUGGUGCAAACAGCAUCAUUGGGUUGAUGUUACUCUCGGGGACCGGUCUCUGGAGGUGAGAGACCGGUUCCAUCAGCUGGGCGUGCGGGGUUGCAGGGUGCAACCGGUCCCUGGCAGGGAGGGACCGGUUCCCGAACGUGGUUCCAGCGAGAAAUGCUGAAAUUUGGCUAAGUCCUGAAAAUUGAGCUCUCGGGGACCGGUCUCUCAGGCGAUGACCGGUCUCCCAAGGACCGGUUGUAGUGUACCGAAUUUUAAUAUAGAAGUAAGAGUAAAUAAAAAUAGUGUAAAAUACUAUUUUUAUUGGACUUAAAGAAGUUUUCUAUGUGCAAAUGAGGUGCUUACUUGGGGGUUAAGUUUCCUAUGCAUAAGUAAAGAGUUUACUUGGGGGUCAAGUUUUCUAUGGCUAAGUAAUGGGCUAACUUGGAGGCUAAGUUUCCUAACUUGGAGGCUAAGUUUCCUAUGUAUAUAUAAAUAUGAUAUGAGGACUUGGACCUUUUCUCUCAUUUUCCACCCCUUAACCCAAAAAGAGAAGCCUUCUCUUUCCCUCUCUAAACCUCUCUCUCUCCUAGCUCCUAGAGUGUUACUCCAAAAGUGGAGAUUUGGUGGAAGAAGCUUACUUGGAGGUGGAGCUUUCCUCUUCCUCACCAUUGGCUUGAA
rnacentral:lncRNA from 1 species